CCAAGCGCAGGGCGAGUGGAGGAAACCCGAUCCCACAGAAGCCUGGCGCGGCUGCACCGGCGGACAUCUACAUCUACAUCUCACACCGGCCCGCUUUUUCAAGAGACGAUGACCCAGUUGCAUUCACCCGACACCGCUCAACGUUACCCUGGUAUCUCUCACCUAAAUAAUCACACUAUACCUCACCAGUAUUUGUGCAUCUGACAAUAAACGAGAAUUGACCAGACGAGGCAAGCAGCUGCGGGGAUGACAAUAACUCAGCUGAAUAACUACCGCAGCUGACACAUUA